UAUGGAGAAGGAGAAUGAGCUUCGACUUCUGCGCAUCGGUACACUAUGGGGGCCGCCAUUUUAUCAGUUAACCUUAAAGUUUUGUUUACCUACGAGGUUACGACGUUGUUGAACCAGUUGUAAUUUGGAGUUAAAAUUAUUACUUAAUUUGUUUUACCGUUAGUGUACGUGUGAACGUGCUUGUUAGUGUUAAAGGACAUUAUUAUUGACAACACACAUGUCUUGUACAGUUUCUCACUGUAAAAAUUGUCAACGAUUUCGUUCAGAAGGUGUAUCUUUUCAUCAGUUUCCGAAAGAUCGAAAACUUUUAAAAAAGUGGCUGAUUGUUGUGAAAAAAGGUGACAGCUUCAAACUGACUAAGUAUAAGCUGGUGUGCUCAGAUCAUUUCACAACAACUGAUUUCAAUGUUGUAAUUGAGUGAAAACGAUUGAAAUCGAACGCAAUUCCCAGUGUGAAUUUAGAUGAAAGUCUAGAAGCUUCUUCAACUUCAAUGAGUACUGUGAGUGCUACUUCAGCUAUAUUUGAGAAGAGUCUCCAUCGAUUAUACCUCAAGGUGUAAAGAGGACAUUAAGUGCUGCGCAGAGAUACCAUGGAAAAAGCAGUAGCAGUACAAGUGGAAGUAAAAGCAAGAACUCAAAAAGUAGUUCUGACAGGAGGGAAGGUGAUAAGCUGGCGUUACAUAAAGAAACUACAUGAAUUACAAAAUGAUGAAUUCCUAAAUGUUGCAAACAAGUUGAAAAAGGCACAUUUGGAGUGAUGGAAACAUAAAAUGAAAUUCUAUUAUAGGUGAGUUUAGCAGCACAAACUCUUAGCAAGAGUUGCGGAUGCACUUGAAUUUUUAAAAGAUCUUGGUAUUAGUGACUUUCAAGGUUGUGAAACAACAAUAGAAUUCAUCAGAAGGAUAGAUUCUUUAUUUGAUAUUCUCAAUUCUCGAAGUGUACGUGCUAAGAAUUUUAAGGCACCUUUGAGAGAAAACAAUGAAGAAAUGUGGCGUCCAUUUCUCAUCGACACCAGUGAGUAUCUUCUGAAUUUGAAGGAUGUCACUGGCGGGCCUUUGUGGUGCACGCCCCGAAAAACGUCAAUUCUGGGCUUUGUUAUUUCCGCUACGUCGUUCAUGGGAAUUUUUGAUGAAUUUGUUAGUAGUAAGAGGUUGAAUGACUUGCUAACAUAAAUGUAGUCAAGAUCAUCUAGAAAUUUUCUUCUGCUCAGUGCGAUCGAGAAAUGGGUGAAACAAUAACCCUACUCCUCUACGAUUUUGUAAAACUUAGAAGAUUGCUUCUAUUUACAAACAUAACGAGGGAAGGAGGAAAUUGUAAAGUGCUUUGCACCACCUGUCUGCUCUCUGUUAACAUUGGCCCAAAGCAAAAGAGCACAAAUGUUCAACAAUCAGUUGACGUGUUUGUCUUGAAAAAAUAUGAUCUCGAUAUUUUGACUGAAGCACUUGCAGAUCAUGACUAUGACCGUCUAAGUUUAUUGGGCUGAGUGAAGUGGCAGAAAACGUGGCAUAUAUUGGUAGCUAUGUUGUCAAAAUGGUGGUGAAGACGUUUAAGUGCGCAGACUGCAUUUCUUCUUGUAUUGAAACAAGAAGAAGUGACUUACACUUUUACAGAUUAUUGGACAAAAAAAACAUGGGUGGGCUUAUUAAACCUUUUGCUGGGGUUGUGAAGACUUGUUGUUACUGUUAAUACGAAAAAUUUUGCAACUCACCGAUAAACUUCCAAGCGAUGAACAAUUUUUUAAAACUUUCGGCAUGCCAGCAUUCUUUUUCCUAAUUUAGAAGACCCACGCACUCGAGACGGUGGCCAUCGAUGAAGGCCAUUUAUAUAUUCUUAUUAAACAAAUAAUUAAUGCCUACAUGCGAAUAAGAAUGUUUCAUUUGAGCAAAAGACUUUCAUGUCUUGCUCAAGGCACUUCUGUUAGACAUGUGUACACAUAAUUAGUACUGUUUUCGCAUCAAUAAAUAUAUUGAAGUAUAA